rnacentral:lncRNA from 1 species
GCUGAUCUGUAAAAAUAACAUCUACAUGCCUUAUAUAUCAUGUAAUGUAGUACGACGCUAGAUUAAAACUGACGUGGAAAGGUAACACCCAGCCACCGAAAGCUUAUUUUUUUUUUAUGAAGCCCAUGUGGUCGUGUGGUCUAGCGGGACGGCUACAGUGCAGGCGAUUUGGUGUCACGAUAUCUCAGUAGCAUGGGUUCGAAUCCCGG